CCUACGGGAGGCAGCAGUAGGGAAUCUUUCACAAUGGGCGAAAGCCUGAUGGAGCAACGCCGCGUGCAGGAUGAAGGCCUUCGGGUUGUAAACUGCUUUUAUAAGCGAGAAAUAUGAUGGUAACUUAUGAAUAAGGAUCGGCUAACUACGUGCCAGCAGCCGCGGUCAUACGUAGGAUCCGAGCAUUAUCCGGAGUGACUGGGUGUAAAGAGUUGCGUAGGUGGCAUAAUAAGUAGCUAGUGAAAUCUGGUGGCUCAACCAUUCAGACUAUUAGCGAAACUGUUAAGCUCGAGACCGUUAGGGGUAACUGGAAUUUCGAGUGUAGGAGUGAAAUCCGUAGAUAUUAGAAGGAACCCCAAUAGCGUAGGCAGGUUGCUGGGACGGUUCUGACACUAAGGCACGAAAGCGUAGGGAGCAAACGGGACUAGAUACCCCAGUAGUC
rnacentral:rRNA from 1 species